AAGGACGGGCCCAGACUCCAUUUCACCCCACAGAUUAAGCAGCACUUGUCUUAAAGGCUGUGCAAAGUGUCAGCAAGCAGCACUGCUGCUGCCUGUGUUGCCCCCAGGCCAAACAGAUGGUGCAAUCCUGCACUGCCGGCACAGGAGCCAGCUGCACAACGGGAGCGAUGGAGCAGCUUUUGCCUGAUAUCAAAGGCACUGAGCAGGAGGAAGCAGCGUCCCAACCCACCCUUACUGGUGGAGAACAGAUACAGGAAAGCGGGAAACAAGAAGACAAUGCGCCAUCAAAGCUGCCGCAAGGUGUUGGAUCAAUGACAACAUCUGCAUGAGGGUCUGGGCUACAAUAGAAGCUGUUACCAUGGGAACGGGUGCAAAAGCAUCAGGCAGGAAGGAGCAGGCGAUGAUGAAAGGUGGGAAAGUGGGAGAGGGUAUUUUUAGAUCGCUUAGGAGGAACGCUACACAAUGACAUCCCCCUAUCUCAUUAUUUGCACCCAUGCUGUAUAACACAUUGUGGCGUCUGCCCCAGGCUGUUAAAUGGGAAAACGUUAUUAUGGAUGUGAAUUACAAAUACUGCGGUGAAACUUGAGCUCGGGAGUUAUUAGGCAUCACUAUUCUGUAAUAAAGGAGAGCAUUUAAUACACUGUGCUGUACAGAUCCACUGUAUGGCACAA